AUUGAACGCUGGCGGCAGGCUUAACACAUGCAAGUCGAGCGGGGGAAGGUAGCUUGCUACCGGACCUAGCGGCGGACGGGUGAGUAAUGCUUAGGAAUCUGCCUAUUAGUGGGGGACAACAUCUCGAAAGGGAUGCUAAUACCGCAUACGUCCUACGGGAGAAUGCAGGGGAUCUUCGGACCUUGCGCUAAUAGAUGAGCCUAAGUCGGAUUAGAUAGGUGGUGGGGUAAAGGCCUACCAAGGCGACGAUCUGUAGCGGGUCUGAGAGGAUGAUCCGCCACACUGGGACUGAGACACGGCCCGGACUCCUACGGGAGGCAGCAGUGGGGAAUAUUGGACAAUGGGGGGAACCCUGAUCCAGCCAUGCCGCGUGUGUGAAGAAGGCCUUAUGGUUGUAAAGCACUUUAAGCGAGGAGGAGGCUACUCUAGUUAAUACCUAGGGAUAGUGGACGUUACUCGCAGAAUAAGCACCGGCUAACUCUGUGCCAGCAGCCGCGGUAA
rnacentral:rRNA from 1 species